rnacentral:rRNA from 4 species
AAAUUGAAGAGUUUGAUCAUGGCUCAGAUUGAACGCUGGCGGCAGGCCUAACACAUGCAAGUCGAACGGUAGCACAGAGAGCUUGCUCUCGGGUGACGAGUGGCGGACGGGUGAGUAAUGUCUGGGAAACUGCCUGAUGGAGGGGGAUAACUACUGGAAACGGUGGCUAAUACCGCAUAACGUCGCAAGACCAAAGAGGGGGACCUUCGGGCCUCUUGCCAUCAGAUGUGCCCAGAUGGGAUUAGCUAGUUGGUGAGGUAACGGCUCACCAAGGCGACGAUCCCUAGCUGGUCUGAGAGGAUGACCAGCCACACUGGAACUGAGACACGGUCCAGACUCCUACGGGAGGCAGCAGUGGGGAAUAUUGCACAAUGGGCGCAAGCCUGAUGCAGCCAUGCCGCGUGUAUGAAGAAGGCCUUCGGGUUGUAAAGUACUUUCAGCGGGGAGGAAGGUGUUG